rnacentral:tRNA from 2 species
GCGGGUAUGGUGUAGUGGUAGCACACAACCCUUCCAAGGUUUUAGCAUGAGUUCGAGUCUCAUUACCCGCU